UCGCACAUUCAUCUAAUCAUCUUCUGGUAAUUACUAUUACGAAGGCACGAAAGCAGAGCAGAGCAGAUCCUCUUCUCUCUUUGUUAAUUAUACUUACUACUCACUGCUGUUGUAUUCUAUUAGCACCGAGUCUGCCUCCAUAUUAUAUUCUUCAUGCUGGAGUAUAAGAGUAGUGCUAUCUUGCAGCCGGUGAUAGUCCAUGGAUUGACUGUGAAUUUAUUUCAUUAAACAAGCCCAUAAUUCCCACUCUACCCAGCCACACCACAGAGUAGAGAGAACUACUACCUCUUCUCUUGUCUCACCCAUAUGCACAAGUAAUUUAAUAGCAUCUCACUUGGGUGCUACUGCUACCUAGGUCGCUUCUUCUACUACUAAUCCAUCUAAUUACUUUUGUGUAUUUAAGCAUGUGAAUAGUUUGGACUGAAACUACAGUUUCAAUAAGUUUUUUCGUUGGACUGCUUUUGGAUUGGAUGAAAUAGGCUAAUCCCUUAAAUUAAUUUAGUUUGGUCUGGGUUGUACCUAUUAUUGGAUUGGUUUGGUUUAGUCUGGACAGAGACGCAUCAGUCUCAAAUGGUUUCAAUCCAUAGACAUGAACCAAAUUGUCGAACCAGACCUGCAGCGUGUUGAGCAUGUCCAUGACGGAAGCAGCCCUGGAUGCGUGCAUGAUGUGCAUGAUGUGUAUUCUACUGUUACCUGUGUAGUGGUACUGUAUUUUGUUCUUCCACCACAAGUACAGCACUCCUUUCCUCUUCUCUUUUCUCCCCUCUCCUUUCCUCUUCUCUUUUCUCUCAUGGAGACGCCAGAGCGCGCGCCCGCCGCCGGCGAAACCCCAUCACCGGCGACCAUAGAGAGCAGGGGCAACAGGAAGUCGCGGUGGCUCGCGGCCCUCUCCUAGCCCGAUCUUGAUUUGCUCACCAGCCUGAAAAUGCUGGUCGUGAAGCGGGCGGAGACCGCCAGACGUCCCCACCUCGCCGACCCGUUAGAUUUGCGCAUGCUGCGUGCUAUCGGUAUCGCGUGCUGCAUCCUCCGUUUCCUCCAUCGAUGGAAACUGGCACGGAGUAUGCAGUAGAAUGCUUAAAGUUAGUCGAUUGCUGACCUGCUGCUGGUUACUUGCUCGAUGCAGUGUGCUCAUCUCUUUGUUGUUUGGUAGUAAAACAAUCGUCGGUAUUCUGAAUUUGUGUGCGUCGAAUUUUGAGCAAACUUCUGAAUUCAUAGUGUAGGCCUUUUGAAUUCAACUUUGCUGUUUCUUGCUCAGAGUAAUUCAUUGUUGUUGGAUAGUAAAUCUACCUGUACUUUCUUGUCAAUUCACGUGCCAUUGUAGACAUCUUAUAGGAGGUUCAGCUGUUCUUGCUUUUGUCAGUACUAUGAAUUUCUACAAUCGAUACUCUGAAGUCAUGCAAAAAAUGGACAGAUUUGAAGCAAACUUUUGAAUCCAUAGCAUAACUCCUUAUUUAUUUUUGCUGAAUUAGAACUGUAAACUCAGCACGCAUAUAGAAAUGCUACAGCAUGCUCAACCAAAUGUGUUAGUUAUUGUGUCAUUGGGCUGACUUUAUACAAAAACCUGUUGCAAGUGCAUGGAAAAUGUGGCACUUGCCAUUCCGGAAUACUACCCGUUUUCUCUAUGAUUGAAGUGUCUCUGUCGAAUACUUCUAAACUGAACAGCUUCAUUCAGAAUUCUGACACUUCUUAGUGUAGCAUUGUAUCUUUAUUUUUACAUGAUCAAACUAUCUUCUGUAUGCAGUAUGCAGCCACACUAUGCCGUAUAUCUUCAGUAGUAAAUGUAUCAUCUUAAUAGUGUACUAAAGCUAGAUUCUUUUGUAGCUCAUUUUUUAGGCUUUCUCCAUGGUUAAUAUAAAUUAUGCAAAGCAAUGUUUACUUUGAGUGUAACUCUAGUGCCAUUCUUAUUAUUCAAUGUACAUCGACGGUGCUGCUGGACUUGUGCUAGUGAGAGGAGGGGAGAAAGCUAAGAACCUUGGCCUUUAAGUUCUAGCAAGGAUCAAAGGGAAUGCUGAUACAGCUCAGGGGUGAUUGACGUGGACUACUGCGACCUGGUGGGCGUCAUGCUCUUCAACCACUUGGAGGUGAACUUCAUCAUGAAGCCCGGCGAUCGCGCCGCACAGAUGAUCGUCCAGGUCAUUGCGACGCCGGAGGUCGCCGAGGUGGAGGACCUCGACGCCACCGUCCGGCGGGAGGGAGUGUUUGGAUCCACCGACGUUUGAACUCCGAGCCUUGGUAGAUACAUCUAGAGAAGUGGUCUAGUUGUUUGCAUCUGAUGUCAAAUGAGAUCUCGUGAUCUCGAGUUGAGAUGUUCAAUGUUGUAUCCAUUAAUGCUGCAAGUGCUAAGAUGGUUCUAUGAACUUAGUUUAUGUACACAGGACGUGUCUUGAUUUCCAUCCAUGAA